UACGGAGGGUGCAAGCGGUGUUCGGAAUCACUGGGCGUAAAGAGCGUGUAGGCGGCGAGGUAAGUCGGAUGUGAAAGCCCCGGGCUCAACUCGGGAAUUGCAUCCGAAACUUCCUCGCUAGAGUCCCGGAGAGGAAGGCAGAAUUCCCAAUGUAGGGGUGGAAUCCGUAGAUAUUGGGAGGAAUACCGGUGGCGAAGGCGGCCUUCUGGACGGUGACUGACCCUGAGACGCGAAAGCGUGGGGAGCAAACAGG
rnacentral:rRNA from 1 species